GAUGAACGCUGGCGGCGUGCUUAACACAUGCAAGUCGAACGGAAAGGCUCCUGCUUGCAGGGGUACUCGAGUGGCGAACGGGUGAGUAACACGUGGGUGAUCUGCCCUGCACUUCGGGAUAAGCCUGGGAAACUGGGUCUAAUACCGGAUAGGACGAUGGUUUGGAUGCCAUUGUGGAAAGUUUUUUCGGUGUGGGAUGAGCUCGCGGCCUAUCAGCUUGUUGGUGGGGUAAUGGCCUACCAAGGCGUCGACGGGUAGCCGGCCUGAGAGGGUGUACGGCCACAUUGGGACUGAGAUACGGCCCAGACUCCUACGGGAGGCAGCAGUGGGGAAUAUUGCACAAUGGGCGCAAGCCUGAUGCAGCGACGCCGCGUGGGGGAUGACGGCCUUCGGGUUGUAAACUCCUUUCGCUAGGGACGAAGCGCAAGUGACGGUACCUGGAGAAGAAACACCGGCUAACUACGU
rnacentral:rRNA from 1 species